CCGUGCUAUGCGGGGAGUUAGCGAUGCCCUGUUAUCCACAAUUCGCUUAGUGGAGCAGAAUGCUAGUUUAGGCCUUUCUUGUGGAAGGCUGUGCGCAAUAAGGAGUGUUGAUUUCAAGGUCUUAUGCAACGUAUCCCUGUGAACCGUGUCAGAGUAGGAAUACAGCAGCACUAAGCAGUAAGACGCGUGUGAUAUAAGGUUGCUUUGACGGAGCCACCUACUGCGUUAACGCUUCGGCAAGAAUUGUCAAGGCUAGAUGCACGG
rnacentral:SRP_RNA from 1 species